UACGGAGGAUGCGAGCGUUAUCCGGAUUUAUUGGGUUUAAAGGGUGCGUAGGCGGAUUUGUAAGUCAGCGGUAAAAAUGCGGUGCUCAACGCCGUAUCGCCGUUGAAACUGCAGGUCUUGAGUGAGCGAGAAGUAUGCGGAAUGCGUGGUGUAGCGGUGAAAUGCAUAGAUAUCACGCAGAACUCCGAUUGCGAAGGCAGCAUACCGGCGCUCAACUGACGCUGAGGCACGAAAGCGUGGGGAUCGAACAGG
rnacentral:rRNA from 1 species